GAAGCAGCGGUGUCUUCCCGCUGAGCAAAGCCUUUAGUUUUGUUGGCGAAAGACCUCGGGCAGCUGAAGAAAGUGUGGCCUUUUUCGCCACACAGGGAGCACUCGCUCUCACUUGAUUGCAUUUCCAUUGCCUCUUUGUAAAUAAACAGGGGGAACGUGGACAGUGGAAGGUUCUUGGAAAGGUUGUCCAGGUUUCAGCAGUAAAUAUUCUACCUACUCUUUCCAAGAUGACGCCUCGAAAUAAAUUGUCCAUUAUGAAUUGGUCCAGUGUACAGAAGCAUCCAGUUCUGUAGCAAUGGAGGCAAUGGGGUUUCAGAGAGGCCUGGACCAUCUGAUCUCCAAGGGAGUGGAUGUUGGAGUCAUGUCAACAGACAGAUCUCCAUCCAUUGGAAAAAUAAUGAAGGACAGCUACACCAACAUAAGGCAUGACUUUGACCCAUGGCAUGUCAAUAAGAAUGGGAGGAGCAUGGCAGCUUAGAGUACCAAUGUCUUCACCCAUCACUCACAGAGGAGGAGCAAACACAGAAAAAUGGCUGAAAAAUUAUUCUCCUGCUUUCCGUGCCUUGAAGGGUAUUAAAGAGAGCAUUGGGAAUCUGAACAAAAAAAGUUGCUAACACGAUGGCUUGAGUUGCAAAACGUGAAGGUGCUUUUCUUGACAAAAGAAAGUGGUUAAACAACGCAGGACGACACACAAGGUUUUCACUAGCAAAGUUUCUCAAAGUUUCACAUCACCUGUCUGGAUUGUAGCCACCCUCAGACUGAGCCUAUGCUUCUUCUUCUUCUUCUUGUUUCCGGCAGGCUGGAUGCAUCUAUGGCAUAUUGCUACCCUUCGCUAUUCUCUAAAACGCUAUUCACAACUUAAUUAGAAGUAAUUAUCUAUAUCUUUAUAUACUCCAAUAUGUCGCAGGUACGCCAUCAGUUUCUUCAAUUUGUUCCAACUGUCCAAAUUCAAUAAAGUGUGUAAAAACAGUUUCUCCAGUUGCACCCAGUUCCCUGAACAGUUUCUUCCUCUGACGAGAGUACUUCCUGCACUGCACUAAUACAUGCUUCACUGUUUCCUCGUCUCCACAUUCACACUUUGCAUCAGGAUGUUUACUAAUCAGAGCCAGCCCCCUCCUCAGCCCACAAUGCCCAAACCUCAAUCUGGAUAAAACUACUGCAUCUCUUCUCUUACAUCUAUAAUCACAUCUUUCUUUCUCUACCAUUCUUUGUACUGAAUAAUAAGUUCUCCCCUUCCUUUCACAAUCCCAUGAAUUUUGCCACAUUUCUUUUACUGACCUAUUCAUUAUUUCGGUGUAAUCUGGUGACCCAUACCGCACAUUAAUUUGAACUCUUUCCUCCUGCACUGCUUUCUUUGCCACCUCAUCUGCCUCCUAAUUACCCUCCACACCCAUGUGCGCGGGAACCCACAGAAACCCCACCUCAUACCCUGCUUUAUGAAUUCUAUACAACACCUGCAUAAUUUCCACAAGCAAAUCAGGCCUGGACUUAGUUUUGGUACCUUCUAUUGUAAUUAGGGUUGCAGCUGAAUCACUCCAUAUGACAGAAUGUUCCGGUUUGUUAUAUUCAACCCACCUUACUGCCCAUAGAACUGCCACCAACUCUGCAGUAAAUGCUGAUAAAUGAUCUGGAAUCCUACAACCGUUUUUAUAACCCAUUUCAGGUAUACUAAUACCAAAAGCCACUUUACCGCUCUCAAGAUCCUUCGACCAGUCAGUAUAAAUUUGUAGGUGGCCUCCACACAUUUGACACUGCCGGGCUUUUAUCUCCUCCACUACAUCUCUGACAUCUUUCUUUUGCUUGUGUUCAAAAAAUAUAAAUCAACAAUGUGAUCCGGAAUCUACCACAAAGGUACAUCUGAACGACAUAUUGGUGGACAUACUGUACAUUCAAAUUCACACUACCAAUUUCAUCUGCCAUAGAUUUGAGUGUUUCUGUAAAGUUUGUUUUGACGAUUCUUGCUGUUCCCAUAAACUCCCAAUGCUGACUCAACAGGUUUUUUGUUGGUAAUUUUCCAGUCUGUCCUUUUAGUUUCAUUAAAUACUUCAAACCAAGUUUAUGUCUUCUCAUAUCUAACGGCAUCUCUCCUGUUUCUAUUAAUAGCGCCAGUAUUGGAGUUGUACGAAACGCCCCACUACACACUCUAAGGGCUUUUGCUUGGACUAUAUCAAGUUGACUAAUCACUGAAGGGGGCUGCUGACCCAUAAACCAUACAGCCAUAAUCAAUAGUUGAUCUUAUCAUUGCUCUGUAUAUCAUCAUCAUAGAUUCACUAUCAGCCCUUAGAACGUUAAUUAUUUUCCCACAUUUAGAGGGAACCAUCUCAAUAUGCUUUUUCCAUGUCAGUCUUUCAUCUAACCACAUCCCCAAGAAUUUAAAGUUUUUUACUUUUUCAAUAGUCGUAUUAUAUAUUUGUAUCAGCUGUGUUAGCAUUUUCUUCUUAUGUCCAAGUACUAUAUAUUUUGUUUUUUUCUGUUGAUAUUUUAAAGCCCCAAUCAUUAGCCCAUUCAGAUUCCCUCUCCAAAGCAAUUUGAAUUUGGCCAAAAAUAUAGGAAAGGUUCCUCCCUUGCUUCCAGAGGGCCCCAUCGUCUGCAGAUAAUGAAAACCAAAAUUCUUUUCCCAUUCUGCUAAACAUACCAUUAACUAGUAUAUUAAAAAGAAUCGGGAUUAUAACACUACCUUGAGGGCUUCCAUUCUCUACCCCAAGCUUCUCUGAUAAUUCACUUCCCACCCUUACCGGAAUUGUCCUAUUAUUUAAAAACUUCUUAACUGAGCACAUGCUUAGGUGGCCAGAGGCUUAUAUAUGUUAAGCCCCUCCCACUAGACCAAACAACUCUUAAUUGCUUCAAUUAUCUCUCUAUUAAGUUACCAUUUAGACAUUUCUAAUUUCACUGAUUCUACCAUAAACAAAUAACAGACCCUUGAACAAAUCAUUUUCCACCCAACUAACACAAAAACUUACACACAUUUUCAACUAGAAAAUAUAACCUCACCUAUGACCCAGGUAUAUGGUAUCUCCCACCAUCAGCACACCUGAGUGUGACUGCUGUAGGCCCUAUAUGAAGCAGCACUUUGCCUUGAUAACGAGCCAUUAAAAAAAUAAAAAAUGUAUUAUUGUAUUGUAUAAUUUU